UACGUAGGGGGCAAGCGUUGUCCGGAUUUAUUGGGCGUAAAGCGCUCGCAGGUGGUCUGAUGCGUCGUGUGUGAAAGCCCCCGGCUCAACUGGGGAGGGUCACGCGAUACGGUCAGACUGGAGGCCAGUAGUGGGAUGUGGAAUUCCGGGUGUAGUGGUGGAAUGCGUAGAGAUCCGGAGGAACACCAGCGGCGAAGGCGGCAUCCUGGACUGGUCCUGACACUCAGGAGCGAAAGCGUGGGGAGCGAUCCGG
rnacentral:rRNA from 1 species